AGUGAACGCUGGCGGUAGGCCUAACACAUGCAAGUCGAACGGCAGCACAGAGGAGCUUGCUCCUUGGGUGGCGAGUGGCGGACGGGAGGAAUACAUCGGAAUCUACUCUGUCGUGGGGGAUAACGUAGGGAAACUUACGCUAAUACCGCAUACGACCUACGGGUGAAAGCAGGGGACCUUCGGGCCCUGCGCGAUUGAAUGGGCCGAUGUUGGAUUAGGUAGUUGGCGGGGUAAAGGCCGACCAAGGCGACGAUCCGUAGCUGGUCUGAGAGGAUGAUCAGCCACACUGGAACUGAGACACGGUCCAGACUCCUACGGGAGGCAGCAGUGGGGAAUAUUGGACAAUGGGCGCAAGCCUGAUCCAGCCAUACCGCGUGGGUGAAGAAGGCCUUCGGGUUGUAAAGCCCUUUUGUUGGGAAAGAAAUCCAGCUGGCUAAUACCCGGUUGGGAUGACGGUACCCAAAGAAUAAGCACCGGCUAACUUCGUGCCAGCCGCCGCGGUAA
rnacentral:rRNA from 1 species